UACGUAGGGGCCGAGCGUUGUCCGGAGUUAUUGGGCGUAAAGCGCGCGCAGGCGGCCUCGCGCGCCCGACGUGAAAGCCCCCGGCUUAACCGGGGAGGGUCGUUGGGGACGGCGGGGCUUGAGGGCGGGAGAGGGUAGUGGAAUUCCCAGUGUAGCGGUGAAAUGCGCAGAUAUCGGGAGGAACACCAGCGGCGAAGGCGGCACUCUGGGCUGGAACUGACGCUGAGGAGCGAAAGCGUGGGUAGCAAACAGG
rnacentral:rRNA from 1 species